CAGCAGCCGCGGUAAUACCGGCGGCCCGAGUGGUGGCCGCUAUUAUUGGGCCUAAAGCGUCCGUAGCCGGGCUGGUAAGUCCUCCGGGAAAUCUGGUCGCUUAACGAUCAGACUUCCGGAGGAUACUGCUGGCCUAGGGACCGGGAGAGGCCGAGGGUAUUCCCGGGGUAGGGGUGAAAUCCUGUAAUCCCGGGAGGACCACCUGUGGCGAAGGCGCUCGGCUGGAACGGGUCCGACGGUGAGGGACGAAGGCCAGGGGAGCGAACCGGAUUAGAUCCCCGGGUAGUCCUGGCUGUAAACGAUGCGGACUAGGUGUCGGGCAAGCUAAGGGCUUGUCCGGUGCCGCAGGGAAGCCAUUAAGUCCGCCGCCUGGGGAGUACGGCCGCAAGGCUGAAACUUAAAGGAUUGGCGGG
rnacentral:rRNA from 1 species